AACGAACGCUGGCGGCAUGCCCAACACAUGCAAGUCGAACGAGACCUUCGGGUCUAGUGGCGCACGGGUGCGUAACGCGUGGGAACCUGCCCUUAGGUUCGGAAUAACUCCCCGAAAGGGGUGCUAAUACCGGAUAAUGUCUUCGGACCAAAGAUUUAUCGCCUUUGGAUGGGCCCGCGUUGGAUUAGCUAGUUGGUAGGGUAAAAGCCUACCAAGGCGACGAUCCAUAGCUGGUCUGAGAGGAUGAUCAGCCACACUGGGACUGAGACACGGCCCAGACUCCUACGGGAGGCAGCAGUGGGGAAUAUUGGACAAGGGGCGAAAGCCUGAUCCAGCAAGGCCGCGUGAGUGAUGAAGGCCUUAGGGUUGUAAAGCUCUUUUACCCGGGAUGAUAAUGACAGUACCGGGAGAAUAAGCUCCGGCUAACUCCGUG
rnacentral:rRNA from 1 species